GGGACAGGGGCGGAGAGGCUGGGACAGAGGCUGGAGGAGAGGCCAGGAGCCUCGGGAUGUCCAGCCUAGGGCCAGCAGGGCCGGGAGGCGACCCCGCUGGUGUUGAUGCCCUGUGCCUGUUUGCUUCAGCAUCUGAUUGGCCUGGAGGAGGCCGGGAAGCUCAAUUUUUUGGUGUCCCAUCCAGCCAAGCCACGUUGUUCCACUCCAAACCCCGUGGGCGUGCAAAGUGCCCCGUGGUGGUAACACCCUGCGUUUCCUGAGCUGCUGGCUCCUGGAAUCAGGAGCUCCAGCGUGGCCACAGAACCAGGUUUUGGCUUUUAAUGAGAUGGAAACGAAGCUCAUCUUUAUCUUCUUCAUUAAAACUGCGAUCUCUCCUGGCAGGGAGGGAUUUAGUGGGGUCAGGAGGGCGAGCAGCAGCCUGACAGCGAGGUGCUGCUCUUCCAGGCCGGUGUUUGCAACCGUUUUAUUCCUCUGGCAACAGAAGGGACGUUUCUAACCGUUAGUAAGAGCUUGUAACGGUUUGGAACCCGAGGAGGGAGAGGAGCAGCCCCUCGUCAUCGCCUCCCUCUGUGGCUCUCUUGCCCCCGGGGUUUAAUUUCCGAGCUGUGCUUUGUUCCUGAUGCAGAGCUGUGAUCUCUCCACGCAGUUUCUACCAAACAAGAUUGGCGGCUUCGCGUGCCCUGCUGGAAAUGCCUCGUGUGCUCUCAAUUACAGACCAGAAGUCCCAUGCCCCGAGACCUUCCGGCCAGCAGCAGAACCUCGAGGCUUUGGGUCCAGCGCCAACGGGCAGUGGAGGGGUUUGGUGCCCACCCUGGGCUCUGCACCACCGAAGCCCCGGCUGAGCCGCGGCUCCUACCUCGAGGCUCGCAAAAUCCCCAGGUGCGUGCGGGGCCGUGGGGGGGGGAAUUUUCCCCUCGCAGCCUGCUGGGGGUACUCAGAGCGAGUUCGGGGUGGGAGUUGGUGGUGAGUUGGUGUCAGCGGGAGGGGUUGGUGUGCUAAUUUGGGAGCUUUUGGGUUGUUUUGAACCCGCCUCAUAAAGGGGCUUCCCAAAGGGUGCAGGCGGUGUUUCUGAGAGUGGAAAUGGUGCGUGGUGUGGGGUCACCUCUCUCUCGUGGAAGGUAACGUGAGAGGCUGGUGCUGAGCCCGUGCAGAAGUCCAGGGGUCUUGCAGGCACCCUGAUGGGGCCGUUUAGGAUGGAGGAAGGAGGGAUGCUGUGAUUUUGGGGGGGAGAAAGAGGUGGUUAGGCUUUGACCAGCCAAGGGGACCUCUCCUGGCCGCUCUGCUGGAGGUGUGAUAAGAAAAGCAGGAGCAGUGUGAAGGUUUUGACCUGCUGCAGCCUGGAGCCUCUUUGUGAGGCUCAGCGGGUGUGAUGGAAGAGGGAAGGGGUGGUUUUGGGAGAAACCUUGGAGUUCUGGGAGCACCCAGGUGGGAAUGGAGCAGUUACACCCAUGGGAGGUCAGGAGAGAGGCACAAAGUGUGGGGUUUUGUGCUGAAAACGUGCCGUUAGCCCCUUCAGUAGGGUGGUGCCUCCAGGUCAGGGCAAGUCUCGUUCCUUUGGAAAAUCCCUGUAAUGGAGAAGGUUUGGUUGCAAUGUGUGAAAUUAAAUUAAACGGGAGAAAUUCCCCAACAGCCCUUGUGUUUUUAACAGGCUGUCAGGUGAGCUGUGGGAGCGGGGAGAGGCAGGGUGAUGGGAGAGCAUCUCCUCGUGUUAAAAAGGGGAAAAAAAAAGAAUGAUUUUUGUGCCUGGAGACGGGUUUCAGCCAUUUUGUGGACGCGGCUGGAAGAGGGGAGCUGUGGGAUCUGGCGGGAAGGUCUGGCCCGGGGUUUGCAGCCUGGGCUUCCCCGGCCUCGCAGUGCCACCUGCCGGCAUCAGGCACUGGCAGCAGCGCUUCCAGGCCGAGCUGAGAGCCGGGCUGCAGCUCCCAGGUGAGGUUUUAUUUGCCUUCUUAAAGCUGGUUCCUGAUCAA
rnacentral:lncRNA from 1 species